UACGUAGGGUGCAAGCGUUGUCCGGAAUUAUUGGGCGUAAAGAGCUCGUAGGCGGUUUGUCGCGUCGGCUGUGAAAACCCGGGGCUCAACCCCGGGCCUGCAGUCGAUACGGGCAAACUAGAGUGUGGUAGGGGAGACUGGAAUUCCUGGUGUAGCGGUGAAAUGCGCAGAUAUCAGGAGGAACACCGGUGGCGAAGGCGGGUCUCUGGGCCGAUACUGACGCUGAGGAGCGAAAGCAUGGGUAGCGAACAGG
rnacentral:rRNA from 1 species